rnacentral:rRNA from 1 species
AUUGAACGCGGCGGCAGGCCUAACACAUGCAAGUCGAGCGGAAACGAGUAUCUGAACCUUCGGGGAAUGAUAACGGCGUCGAGCGGCGGACGGGUGAGUAAUGCCUAGGAAAUUGCCCCUGAUGUGGGGGAUAACCAUUGGAAACGAUGGCUAAUACCGCAUGAUGCCUACGGGCCAAAGAGGGGGACCUUCGGGCCUCUCGCGUCAGGAUAUGCCUAGGUGGGAUUAGCUAGUUGGUGAGGUAAGGGCUCACCAAGGCAACGAUCCCUAGCUGGUCUGAGAGGAUGAUCAGCCACACUGGAACUGAGACACGGUCCAGACUCCUACGGGAGGCAGCAGUGGGGAAUAUUGCACAAUGGGCGCAAGCCUGAUGCAGCCAUGCCGCGUGUAUGAAGAAGGCCUUCGGGUUGUAAAGUACUUUCAGCAGUGAGGAAGGCGGGUACGUUAAUAGCGUGCUCGUUUGACGUUAGCUGCAGAAGAAGCACCGGCUAACUCCGUGCCAGCAGCCGCGGUAAUACGGAGGGUGCGAGCGUUAAUCGGAAUUACUGGGCGUAAAGCGCAUGCAGGUGGUUUGUUAAGUCAGAUGUGAAAGCCCGGGGCUCAACCUCGGAAUAGCAUUUGAAACUGGCAGACUGGAGUACUGUAGAGGGGGGUAGAAUUUCAGGUGUAGCGGUGAAAUGCGUAGAGAUCUGAAGGAAUACCGGUGGCGAAGGCGGCCCCCUGGACAGAUACUGACACUCAGAUGCGAAAGCGUGGGGAGCAAACAGG